UUUCUACUCCCUCUGUCGGAAAAUACUUGUCAUCAAAAUGGAUAAAAAGAGAUGUAUCUAAAACUAAAAUACGUCUAGAUACAUUUCCUUUUAUCCAUUUUGAUGACAAGUAUUUCCGGACGGAGGGAGUAUUUG
rfam:Triticum aestivum genome assembly, contig: Triticum_aestivum_CS42_TGACv1_scaffold_211431_3AS